AUGUGUACGACGCCCUGUCAGACGUCGUUGCUGAAAUUGCGCAGCGUCCCCCCUCUUCGCCACUUCGUCGUAAAAUUGUUUGCCGCUUCGACAGCAUACACACAACGAACGAAGUGCACUUAACGCUUAGAAUCUGCACCCUCUCACAGCUUUUUAGCAGCAAUGCCGGCGCACAAGACGCUUCCCAACCUCAACCACUUCAUGGAGAAGCGGAUUGUGGUGAAGAUACAAGGUGGCCGCUCCAUCUCCGGCGUGCUGCGCGGCGUCGACGAGCACAUGAGCAUCGUGCUACACGACGCCAUGGAUGAGACCCGCAACGCAGCUGUCAGCGAGGAGGCCAGGUUGGCUCUCGGCACCACCGUGAUUCGUGGCAGCGCCAUCGUCGAGAUCGUGAGCGCCGAUGUUUGAGAAGGUCAGAGAACGUAUGUGCACCAGGACGAACUGGGGUCGCAUGUAAAGGAUCUUUUAGUCGUGCCGCACCGUCGGCGGAAAGAGGGCUGACGUGGCCACCUGAGCAGCAUACGUUUUCGUAAAUAAAUGAGAAGUCGGUGUGCGUAUCUUCUUGUCUGGGGGAGUGUCGUCUUUGUUGGAUGAUGAGAGAACUCUUUUUGUGUGUGUGUGUGUGUUCGUGUGUCUCCGUAUGUCCGUCUCUGCGUGCCUGGUUUUUGCCCAGCGCCUUCAGCCCAGCUCCUGCUCUCCCUCAUCUCUCGGCCUCUUUCGAUUUGUCGGUCAUCUCCCUUUGCUGCCGCAAGACACGUAACGGUGCGUGCCGACGCGGGUGAGGGACAUGGGCUGUGCAGGCGAAAGCUGCCCGCGGAUGCGAUGAGACGUGGCGCGAGGACGUACACCCUGCAACAGAACAGAAUCCCCAUCGCAGACAACACGAAUAGUCUAAGGUGGUGGACGGAUCCACUCAUGGCUAGAUACGGAGCACAGCAGAACGUGAGUGCGGGAGAGUCCGCGCGCCGCCUCGUUCUCUUGUGCGUUGCCUUCCGAUCUCCGCGCAUCCUUGCUCUGACACAGGGCUGGCGCUCGGCUCGUUGCGUGAUGACCGCGACCGCGUGCCGUGCGGCGCGACAAAGCCCACACGCACUCACCACUCGGAUACCAAGCUCGCGAGCUGCUUCACAUGCUGCCUGUACGUCUGCUUCUUCCGUGAUGUUCCUCGUUACUCUUCUUCCCGCGUCCUUUGACACUCUCUCUACCCGCUGCUCUCUCUCUCUGUCUGUCUGUCUCACUUUCGCAG
rnacentral:misc_RNA from 1 species